UAGGGAAUCUUCCGCAAUGGACGAAAGUCUGAAGGAGCAACGCCGCGUGAGUGAAGAAGGAUUUCGGUUCGUAAAACUCUGUUGUUAGGGAAGAAAAAAUGUAUAGUAACUAUAUACAAAAGAGACGGUACCUAACCAGAAAGCCACGGCUAACUACGUGCCAGCAGCCGCGGUAAUACGUAGGUGGCAAGCGUUGUCCGGAAUUAUUGGGCGUAAAGCGCGCGCAGGUGGUUUAGAAAGUCUGAUGUGAAAGCCCACGGCUCAACCGUGGAGGGUCAUUGGAAACUAAUAAACUUGAGUGCAGGAGAGAAAAGUGGAAUUCCUAGUGUAGCGGUGAAAUGCGUAGAGAUUAGGAGGAACACCGGUGGCGAAAGCGGCUUUUUGGCCUGCAACUGACACUGAGGCGCGAAAGCGUGGGGAGCAAACAGG
rnacentral:rRNA from 1 species